rnacentral:rRNA from 1 species
CCUACGGGUGACUGCAGUGGGGAAUAUUGCACAAUGGGGGAAACCCUGAUGCAGCGACGCCGCGUGAGUGAAGAAGUAAUUCGGUACGUAAAGCUCUAUCAGCAGGGAAGAAAUACUGACCUUACGGUCAGCAGACGGUACCUGGGUAAGAAGCCCCGGCUAACUACGUGCCAGCAGCCGCGGUAAGACGGAGGAUGCGAGCGUUAUCCGGAUUUAUGGGGUUUAAGGGGUGCGCAGGCGGAAUGUCAAAUCAGCGGUAAAAUUUCGGGGCUCAACCCCGUCGUGCCGUUGAAACUGGCGUUCUUGAGUGAGCGAGAAGUAUGCGGAAGGCGUGGUGUAGCGGUGAAAUGCAUAGAUAUCACGCAGAACUCCGAUGGCGAAGGCAGCAUACCGGCGCUCAACUGACGCUCAUGCACGAAAGCGUGGGUAUCGAACAGGAUUAGAUACCCCAGUAGUC